rnacentral:rRNA from 1 species
GUUGAGGUAGGGUACUGGCAACAGUGCUCUGCUGAAUAUUUUCACCCAUGUCUUUUGCGCACUUUUUGUUUCCUGGGCGAGUUUGCUCGCCACCAGGACCCCCAUAUGAACCUUUUUUGUUUUUGCACUCAGCGUCAGUACAAUAAUUUAAUCUAUUAAAACUUUCAACAACGGAUCUCUUGGUUCUGGCAUCGAUGAAGAACGCAGCGAAAUGCGAUACGUAGUGUGAAUUGCAGAAUUCAGUGAAUCAUCGAAUCUUUGAACGCACAUUGCGCCCUUUGGUAUUCCAAAGGGCAUGCCUGUUCGAGCGUCAUUUGUACCCUCAAGCUUUGCUUGGUGUUGGGCGUCUUAUUGUCUCUCCGUCUCGGGGAGACUCGCCUUAAAACAAUUGGCAGCCGGCCUACUGGUUUCGGAGCGCAGCACAAAUUUGCGCUUGCAAUCAGCCAAGGGCGGCAUCCAUGAAGCCUUUUUUCUCUCACAUUUUGACCUCGGAUCAGGUAGGGAUACCCGCUGAACUUAAGCAUAUCAAUAGGCCGGAGGAAAUGACAUUUGAGUCCG